AUGAUGCUACUUGGUGCAUUCCUGCUCUUGUCUCUCUUAAUAGGAGAAACUGUUGGGAAUACUAUAACACCCUCUCGUUACUCAGUGGUCGUCAUUGAGGAAGAAACUGUCACUUUCUCCUGUAACUACAGCAGUAGUGAUGUCAAUAACUUGCAGUGGUAUCGGCAAUAUCCCAACUCCAUCCCAGAGUUCCUCUACUACAUAUAUGAGGCUGGUACCACUUCAGACACAGUCCCCCGUCUGACUCCCUCCAUAAAGAAAGAGGAAAAGCAUGUGUUUCUGGAGCUCUCCUCUGCAGAGGCGUCUGACUCUGCUGUGUACUACUGCGCCCUGGUGCCCACAGUGACAGGAACUCUGACUCUGCUGUACAAAAACCUCUCAUAUGUGCAGGAGGAGGGAGAUUCAACAUGUCCCCUUCACAGAAAGCACAUUCAUUUAUACACUCUGACUAUUAAUCCAGGCUGCUGA